UAAAAAAGCCAUCCAGCAAAACGCUAAUCAAAGAUCAAAAUGAACCUGUUAAAUUUGAAGAUAAUUCAGGCAGAAAUUUUGGAGGCAAGAAACCGAAAUCUUUGAAGGAUGAUGGAUCCUCAUUGAUGAAAUUAAGUGGAUAUAUUCCCAAGAGGCAAGAAUUUGAUCCUGAAUAUGAUAAUGAUGCGGAGCAACUAUUGGCUGAUAUGGAAUUCAAGGAAACUGAAACUGAAGAGGAGCGCGAACUUAAGCUGCGUGUUCUGCGUAUCUAUUCCAAGAGGCUUGAUGAAAGAAAACGCCGCAAGGUUUUUAUUCUAGAGAGGAAUUUACUCCAGCCAAGUGAAUUUGAGAAGAAUUUGUCACCAGAAGAGAAAGGUAUAUGCCGACGUUAUGAUGCCAUUAUGCGCUUUCUCUCGAAGGAGGAGCAUGAAGAAUUACUUAAGGCUGUGGUCUCAGAACAUAGAUAUCUGAAAAGAAUACAAGAACUCAAGGAAGCGAAAGCUGCAGGUUGUCGUUCGUCUGCUGAAGUUGAUAGGUACUUAGAAAGGAAAAGGAAGAAGGAAGUUGAAGAAGGUGUUCCGAGAAAGGGAAGCUCUCAGAUUGGCCCAAUGAGCCAGGAAAGCCUGAACAUACCUGCUUCUUCUGAGUCACUUGGAAUACAUUCAAAUAGAAAACCUUGUAGCCUGGCGAUUUUGAGUUCCGACACCAAUGCAGGUGUUCCAGCUUUUUCUGCAGGAGAACUGUUAUCUGAACCUGAGAAACAACUAUGUCAAGAAAUCAGGUUAUCGCCGCAUCAUUAUCUUAGGAUGCAGGAGGUCCUUACAAUACAAAUUUA
rnacentral:misc_RNA from 1 species